UUAAACUACUAGGGGAGCUAGUAAGCUGAGAUGACGGUAGGUCAGACCCUUAUAACCUGAAUUGGUUAGUACCAACGUAGGAAAGUAGUAUUUUAGUCUU
rnacentral:ncRNA from 2 species